rnacentral:misc_RNA from 1 species
AGCAGCCGCGGUAAUUCCAGCUCCAAUAGCGUAUAUUAAAGUUGCUGCAGUUAAAAAAGCUCGUAGUUGAAUUUCGGGAUCAUCAUGUCGGUCGUGCCUCGGUACGUACUGGCAUUGUUGGUUUCUACCUUCUGACGAACCAUGAUGUCAUUUAUUUGGUGUCGUGGGAAAUCAGGACUGUUACUUUGAAAAAAUUAGAGUGUUUAAAGCAGGCUCACGCUUGAAUACAUUAGCAUAGAAUAAUGAAAUAGGACGUUUGAUUCUAUUUUGUUGGUUUCUAGGAUCGGCGUAAUGAUUAAUAGGGAUAGUUGGGGGCAUUAGUAUUCAAUUGUCAGAGGUGAAAUUCUUGGAUUUAUUGAAGACUAACUACUGCGAAAGCAUUUGCCAAGGAUGUUUUCAUUAAUCAAGAACGAAAGCUAGGGGAUCGAAGACGAUCAGAUACCGUCGUAGUCUUAACCAUAAACUAUGCCGACUAGGGAUCGGAUGAUGUUAAUUUUUUGAAUGACUCAUUCGGCGCCUU